AUCCAGAGAAUUUAGCAGAGAUGCUUUAGUGCCUUCGGGAACUCUGAGACAGGUGCUGCAUGGCUGUCGUCAGCUCGUGUUGUGAAAUGUUGGGUUAAGUCCCGNAACGAGCGCAACCCUUAUCCUUUGUUGCCAGCACGUAAUGGUGGGAACUCAAAGGAGACUGCCGGUGAUAAACCGGAGGAAGGUGGGGAUGACGUCAAGUCAUCAUGGCCCUUACGAGUAGGGCUACACACGUGCUACAAUGGCGCAUACAAAGGAGAAGCGACCUCGCGAGAGCAAGCGGACCUCAUAAAGUGCGUCGUAGUCCGGAUUGGAGUCUGCAACUCGACUCCAUGAAGUCGGAAUCGCUAGUAAUCGUAAAUCAGAAUGUUACGGUGAAUACGUUCCCGGGCCUUGUACACACCGCCCGUCACACCAUGGGAGUGGGUUGCAAAAGAAGUAGAUAGCUUAACCUUCGGGAGGGCGUUUACCACUUUGUGAUUCAUGACUGGGGUGAAGUCGUAACAAGGUAAGCGUAGUGCU
rnacentral:rRNA from 1 species